rnacentral:rRNA from 1 species
AUUGAACGCUGGCGGCAGGCCUAAUACAUGCAAGUCGAACGAGUGGCGGACGGGUGAGUAAUGUCUGGGAAACUGGCUGAUGGAGGGGGAUAACGACUGGAAACGGUAGAUACUACCGCAUACCAUCAGAUGUGCCCAGAUGGGAUUGGCUGGUUGGUGGGGUAACGGCUCACCAAGGGGACGAUCCCUAGCUGAGCUGAGAGGAGGACCAGCCACACUGGAACUGAGACACGGUCCAGACUCCUACGGGAGGCAGCAGUGGGGAAUAUUGCACAAUGGGCGAAAGCCUGAUGCAGCAAUGCCGCGUGUAUGAAGAAGGCCUUCGGGUUGUAAAGUACUUUCAGCGGGGAGGCGUUACCCGCAGAAGAAGCACCGGCUAACUCCGUGCCAGCCGCCGCGGUAAUAC